UUGAACGCUGGCGGCAGGCCUAACACAUGCAAGUCGAGCGGUUGAGAGUAGCUUGCUACUUGAUGCAGCGGCGGACGGGUGAGUAACGCGUGGGAAUCUGCCCAGUAGUGGGGGACAACAGCCGGAAACGGCUGCUAAUACCGCAUACGCCCUACGGGGGAAAGGGGGGGAUCUUCGGACCUCUCGCUAUUGGAUGAGCCCGCGUCGGAUUAGCUAGUUGGUAGGGUGAAGGCCUACCAAGGCUACGAUCCGUAACUGGUCUGAGAGGAUGAUCAGUCACACUGGAACUGAGACACGGUCCAGACUCCUACGGGAGGCAGCAGUGGGGAAUAUUGGACAAUGGGGGAAACCCUGAUCCAGCCAUGCCGCGUAUGUGAAGAAGGCCUUAGGGUUGUAAAGCACUUUCAGUGGGGAGAAAGGUUUGUCACCUAAUACGUGAUGAAAUUGAUGUUACCCACAGAAGAAGCACCGGCUAACUCCGUGCCAGCAGCAGCCGCAGUAA
rnacentral:rRNA from 1 species